AUGUCUGAUGUGGUGCCUGGGCUCAUUGGCCUCAUUCCACGGAUCAGCAUCAGCAACGUGCAGCUGGCGGAUACUGUCAUGUUCACCAUUGGAGCUCUGUCUGAAUGGCUGGCUGACCACCCUGUCAUGAUCAACAGUGUUCUGCCCCUUGUACUGCAUGCCCUAGGCAAUCCUGAGCUCUCUGUCUCUUCUGUGUCCACCCUCAAGAAGAUCUGCCGAGAAUGCAAGUAUGACCUGCCACCCUAUGCUGCUAACAUCGUGGCUGUCUCCCAGGAUGUGUUGAUGAAACAGAUCCACAAGACGAGCCAGUGCAUGUGGCUGAUGCAGGCACUGGGCUUCCUGCUGUCAGCCCUGCAGGUGGAGGAGAUCCUUAAGAACCUGCACUCACUUAUCUCGCCCUACAUCCAGCAGCUGGAGAAGCUAGCAGAGGAGAUACCUAAUCCUUCCAACAAGCUGGCCAUUGUCCACAUCUUGGGCCUUCUCUCCAACCUCUUCACCACACUGGAUGUCAGUCAUCAUGAGGACGAUCAUGAAGGCCCUGAGCUCCGGAAGCUGCCAGUGCCACAGGGACCCAACCCCGCGGUAUGCGCUAUCUUUGAGAAGUCUGUUAAGACCCUGCUGGAUGACUUUGCCCCCAUGGUGCCACAGCUGUGUGAGAUGCUGGAUUGGAUGUACAGCACCAUCCCCCAGGCCUCUGCUCUUGACCUCACUUGACAGCUGGUCCACAUCUUUGCUCAUGAACCUGCCCACUUUCCCCCAAUCGAGGCCCUCUUCCUGCUCGUCACCUCUGUCACACUCACUCUCUUCCAGCAAGGGCCCAGGGAUCAUCCUGAUAUUGUUGAUUCAUUUAUGCAACUCCUGGCACAGGCUCUGAAGUGGAAGCCAGAUUUGUUCCUGUGUGAAAGAUUGGAUGUCAAGGCUGUGUUCCAGUGUGCUGUGCUGGCCCUCAAGUUCCCCGAGGCACCUACUCUCAAGGCCUCCUGUGGCUUCUUUACAGAGCUGCUGCCUCGGUGUGGGGAAGUAGAACCCGUGGGAAAAGUGGUUCAAGAGGAUGGCCGUAUGCUGCUCAUAGCAGUGCUGGAGGCCAUUGGGGGCCAGGCCUCCCGAAGCCUCAUGGACUGCUUUGCCGACAUCCUAUUUGCUCUGAACAAACACUGCUUCAGCCUCCUGAGCAUGUGGAUCAAGGAGGCCCUGCAGCCACCCAGUUUUCCCUUUGCCAGCCUCAGCCCUGAACAGAAGGACACCUUCAGCCAGCAGAUCCUUCGUGAGCGAGUGAACAGGAGGCGGGUGAAGGAGUUAGUGAAGGAAUUCACACUGCUGUGCCGGGGGCUUCAUGGCAUAGAUUAUACAGCUGACUACUGAGGGGCGCCCCGUCCCACCCACGCCUCCUCACCCCUCCCUAUCCCCAAAGAGUAAACCUGGAUCUUCACUGCAAAAA